UACAGAGGUCUCAAGCGUUGUUCGGAUUCAUUGGGCGUAAAGGGUGCGUAGGUGGCGCUGUAAGUCGGGUGUGAAAUUUCGGAGCUUAACUCCGAAACUGCAUUCGAUACUGCGGUGCUUUGAGGACUGGAGAGGAGACUGGAAUUCAUGGUGUAGCAGUGAAAUGCGUAGAGAUCAUGAGGAAGACCAGUGGCGAAGGCGGGGUCUCUGGACAGUUCCUGACACUGAGGCACGAAGGCCAGGGGAGCAAACGGG
rnacentral:rRNA from 1 species